rnacentral:tRNA from 1 species
CAGGGAGACAACAAAAUGUUUAAUAUUAUUAUUUUGUCACCUUAGGUCGAUCGGUAUCUCACGUUCUUAAUUAAUUAAGAAUUUCAUUUCCUAAGUUUUUCUAGGUCACACCCAUAUUUUUCCUGGGCCAUUAGCUCAGGUGGUUAGAGCGCACCCCUGAUAAGGGUGAGGUCCCUGGUUCAAGUCCAGGAUGGCCCAUAUCUCUAUGUUGGGGGUAUAGCUCAGUUGGUAGAGCGCCUGCUUUGCAAGCAGGAUGUCAGCGGUUCGAGUCCGCUUACCUCCACUGAUUACCACCUCUUUCAUACUCUGUAGAAAGGAAAUUUUUGAGUUGUGAUCAAAUUCUGAACGAAUCUAGCUUCCUAAUGAAAUCAUUAAGAUGCUGGACUCAUUGAAUUAAUUUCAUUGUUUUCAGAGAACCUUGACAACUGCAUAGAUUAUUUUUAAAGACAAUAAGCAUCUUUAAUGAUGCAGAUUUAUUAUUUGUGCAAAUGCAUUAAUAACAAUUCUAUUAAGCUGAUGCUUCAAUUUUGAAGUUAUU